GGAGAGAUGUCUGAGUGGUUGAAGGAGCACGCCUGGAAAGUGUGUGUACGUUUACGCGUACCGAGGGUUCGAAUCCCUCUCUCUCCGCCA
rnacentral:tRNA from 1 species